UACAGAGGGUGCAAGCGUUAAUCGGAAUUACUGGGCGUAAAGCGCGCGUAGGUGGUUUGUUAAGUUGGAUGUGAAAUCCCCAGGCUCAACUUGGGAACUGCGUCUGAUACUGGAUGGCUUGAAUUCGGGAGAGGGAUGCAGAAUUCCAGGUGUAGCGGUGAAAUGCGUAGAUAUCUGGAGGAAUACCGGUGGCGAAGGCGGCAUCCUGGACCGAGAUUGACACUGAUGAGCGAAAGCCAGGGGAGCAAACGGG
rnacentral:rRNA from 1 species